CUUUGAUUAUGGCUCAGGAUGAACGCUAGCUACAGGCUUAACACAUGCAAGUCGAGGGGCAGCAUGUCGGUUGCUUGCAACCGACGAUGGCGACCGGCGCACGGGUGAGUAACGCGUAUCCAACCUACCCUUGUCCAUCGGAUAACCCGUCGAAAGGCGGCCUAACACGAUAUGCGGUUCACAGCAGGCAUCUAACGUGAACGAAAUGUGAAGGAGAAGGAUGGGGAUGCGUCUGAUUAGCUUGUUGGCGGGGUAACGGCCCACCAAGGCGACGAUCAGUAGGGGUUCUGAGAGGAAGGUCCCCCACAUUGGAACUGAGACACGGUCCAAACUCCUACGGGAGGCAGCAGUGAGGAAUAUUGGUCAAUGGACGAGAGUCUGAACCAGCCAAGUAGCGUGCAGGAUGACGGCCCUAUGGGUUGUAAACUGCUUUUAUAGGGGGAUAAAGUGUGCCACGUGUGGCAUAUUGCAGGUACCCUAUGAAUAAGGACCGGCUAAUUCCGUGCCAGCAGCCGCGGUAAUACGGAAGGUCCGGGCGUUAUCCGGAUUUAUUGGGUUUAAAGGGAGCGUAGGCCGUCUUAUAAGCGUGUUGUGAAAUGUCGGGGCUCAACCUGGGCAUUGCAGCGCGAACUGUGAGACUUGAGUGCGCAGGAAGUAGGCGGAAUUCGUCGUGUAGCGGUGAAAUGCUUAGAUAUGACGAAGAACUCCGAUUGCGAAGGCAGCCUGCUGUAGCGCAACUGACGCUGAAGCUCGAAAGCGUGGGUAUCGAACAGGAUUAGGUACCCUGGUAGUCCACGCGGUAAACGAUGGAUGCUCGCUGUUUGCGUCUGACGUAAGCGGCCAAGCGAAAGCGUUAAGCAUCCCACCUGGGGAGUACGCCGGCAACGGUGCAACUCAAAUGAAUUGACGGA
rnacentral:rRNA from 2 species